UGGGGGCAGGGCUUACCUAUUUAAAUUGAAGGUGAACCAGCCUACUCUUCAGUGUGCUUUAACUCUCUACAUUUGAUUAUAUUGUCUUCUGGUAAAGUAGGUUCCUGUACAUUGUCCUCACAUAGACUGACCAGGUAAACCUGGAAGUUUUCAGCUUGUAGAAAGCAAACCAUUUAAUUUCAAACUUCAUGAGAUGAAUGUUAUAAAAAUUUUAUGUUUAAAAAAAAUCCAAUCUGCUUAGUCUCAUUCUCUUCUUGGCUGAUGUAACGUUUAUAUAACUAGGGAAGCACUUGGUAACAAUAACUCAUGCGUCAUCUACUGUUUUAUUGCAGUAUGACGUGGCUACGUGGGUUAGGGACGAUAAUAAAGCACUCAAUUGAUAAUUACUCUCUUACAAACUUGCUGGUUCAUCUUCACAUUAUUUUACUAACAUAUUAACUGGACUGGGCGAAUGACUCCCAGUUAGACUCAAUUAUUCCAAAAGACUGACACAUGGAGCUGGAAGUGAUUCGGGAUCGAUUCAGAAUCGGCACAGCACAUUUGUAGAGUUAAGAGUUCUUUUUUUUUAAAUAAAUUAUUUAUUUAGUAUUAAUUUGUUCACAAAAACAUUGUUUUGUUUUGUAUCUUAUUUUCGACAUUUUUGAAAAAGUUGUAUAUAUAUCUUGCGUGGUGAUUCCUGUUCAGCCCGCGCUGCGUCCUCAGACCGCGUUGAGAGCGCUGAGGAGAGCUGUUUGGUGUGCGUGUGUGCGUGCGUGAGCGCCGACAGACUGAGGUGAUCUAACGAAUUAAAAACUGCCAUUUGGAAAACCAUAGAGAGUUUACGCUGUACUCAUAAAUAUGUCCAGAAUAAACUCCCCAGUUCCAGUUCUCCCAGUUCCAGUUCAAGUCUUCUGUUACACAACGCAGAGUACUAACAGUAGCCAGAGAUAGGCCGGUUACAUUGGCGUUCGACUAGAUAGGUGAGGCUGAAGAGGAAGCACUGUUCAUCCCUGAGCUGUGCAGUGAGGCUGAGAAAGGUAAAGUUCCUCAGUCUCUAGCCUCACUAUACAGUACUGCGCAGUGCAACAGCGCCUCGGACUGCCUGGUGUUAGCGGCCCACGUGUUGCUGUUGGAGACCGGAUUCCUGCCACAGGAUUGUGAUGUCAGAGCAGGGGAGAUGCCCAGCGGCUGGCGUCCAGCGGGUGCUUAUACAGACUAGAGUAUACGCACCCUCUCCUUCUGAACAGCCUGGUUCAGGUGCUUGCUGUUCUGGUUAUUAAAACACUCAAUAUACAUGGGGAGAGAAACGCCAGUGAUCAUCUCAGUUGUCCUCACAAUCUAUGGACCAGUGUUUCAGAAGAAUAGAUCUGCUACUGAGAAAGAUGCAACAACAACAUUGUAUUUGUAUGACAGCAUUCAAAAGGUUUCGUGAACCCUUUCCUUUGGUCUUCAACAAGAAAAUCCAAGAACCAACUCAAGGGAGGCUCGCCAGCCCAAACCCUCCACAAAACCACUGGAAGGCCGGGACAAAUCCAGAAUACAGGCAUCGGAACAUCUCGUCACCUCAGACAGAACAGCAAUCGAAUUUGGAAAAGGACAAAACAAGAAAAACAAAAAAACCUGACCUUGAACAAACAAGGUCAUAAAAAUAUCAUGAAUAUCUUCAUUGUAACAACAUACAAUAAAGUUAGCAAUCACUAUACAUCAUUCAAAUUUCACAGAACUCUAGUAUUCUGAAUACAUGUACAUGUAUCUUUUCAAAUAAAGAAUAUUUUCUUUA